UACGUAGGGAGCAAGCGUUGUCCGGAAUCAUUGGGCGUAAAGCGCGCGUAGGUGGCCCCGUAAGUCCGCUGUGAAAAGUCAAAGGCUCAACCUUUGAAAGCCGGUGGAUACUGUGGGGCUAGAGUACGGAAGAGGCGAGUGGAAUUCCUGGUGUAGCGGGUGGAAUGCGCAGAUAUCAGGAGGAACACCAAUAGCGAAGGCAGCUCGCUGGGACGUUACUGACGCUGAGACGCGAAAGCGUGGGGAGCAAACAGG
rnacentral:rRNA from 1 species